rnacentral:rRNA from 1 species
AAACUUUACAAUGCCGGCAACGGCGAUAAGGGAACCUCGAGUGCCAGGUUACAAAUCUGGCUGUCGUUGUGUCUAAAAAACACAAUAUAGCAAGGGCCGGGCAAGACCGGUGCCAGCCGCCGCGGUAACACCGGCGGCUCGAGUGGUAACCGUUAUUAUUGGGUCUAAAGGGUCUGUAGCCGGCCGGAUAAGUCUCUUGGGAAAUCCGGCAGCUCAACUGUCGGGCUUUCAGGAGAUACUGUCUGGCUCGAGGCCGGGAGAGGUGAGAGGUACUUCAGGGGUAGGGGUGAAAUCUUGUAAUCCUUGAAGGACCACCAGUGGCGAAGGCGUCUCACCAGAACGGACCUGACGGCAAGGGACGAAAGCUAGGGGCACGAACCGG